rnacentral:lncRNA from 1 species
GGACAUUCCAGAGAGUUCUCUCGUUUCUCUCUCGUUCUCUCACUGUAUCUCUCGUCAUUUUUACCUUCAAUCUGUAUGUUUUCAUGGUAUCAGAGCGGGAUGAUCCUCGGAUUCUUCUCCGUUACUUGUUAUCGAUCGUGUUGGAAGUUCUAUUGAAGGUUUUUCUCUGGAUAUUUGUGAGAGAUUCUGUUUACCGAGAGA